AUGAGGACAGCUCUCAGAAACAGGGUCAAGCCGGGGGAGGCAUGUCUAGGUCCCUCCAGCUUCCUCCACCGAGGACCUGGCCGGAAGCUCUGGUACUGCUGAGCCAGGGAAGAGGUGCCUGUGGAAGGUGGAAACAGUUUAGAAAAUAGCUGAGGCCCUGCAGGGACAGGGCAGCAGGAAAAUUAGUGUUUCCUGGACAAGGACAUCUGCCUUCGAAGGAAGUUCCGUAGUAGGCAGCAGGGACCCUGCCCAGUGCUGCUGAGGGCAGCCAAGGAGAUCCCAAAUAAGGAGCGCCACUUGGAUAAAGCCAGAUCCGUGACCACAUCCCAGGAGAGACGCUGGGACAAGCCGAUGUGAAGCAAAGUUGGUGGUCCCUCAUACUGAAUGCAGAUAAAGCUCCACCAACUGCUGAGCCUCCUGCUCCCAGCAGGCACUUCUCAGUCUUCCUGUCCAACACCAGCCUCCCUCAAGAACUACAUCUUCUCCCUCCAAGCGCAGCUCAAGCCUCUGCCUCUUAUGGUUCUACAACCCUAACCAAAACCAACUCCAAAGCUUCUCUCCAGAGCAGGAGAGCUUCCUCUCUGUCAGGGGACUGACUUUGCCGAUAGAUCAGUUCAGUGGGUGGAUGGUGGGACGGGGUGGUGUGCCUGGAAACCACGAGGCCCAAAGAUAAAAGCAAAAGGCCUGGUCUGUCAGUGGCUGGCGUGAUGCCUCAUGCGAACAGUCAGAGCCUAGCUGCUAAUGACCCAUGACACUUCAGGCUAGUGACCUCAGUACUUACCACAGUUCCUGCUGAAGGGCACAGCGAGGGACCAGAGAGCAGGUCCAGCAGUUGAGAGCGCUUUGCUGCUUUUGCGGAGAACUGAGUUUAGUUAGUGGACAUCAUGGCAAAACCCACACACACACAUAACACACAAUUAAAAAUAAAAUCUUUAGCCAGGCAUGGUAGCACACACUUUUAAUACCAGCACAUGAGGCAGAGGCAGGUGGACUUGUCUGAGUUUGAGUGACAGCGAAGCCAAUACAAUUGGGCAGAGUGGAGAGGCCUGGCACACGGGUGCUCCUCAGCAGGGUCCCAAGGUCCGACUGCACAACAAAACCAGAAUGCCCAAGGCACUGGAGGUCAGCCUGGAGUUUGGUGAGGCCCAGAGGGACAUCGGACCAGCCAGGGGUUGUGCAAGGAGAAUCGCUCUUCAUCAAGCUGCUACAGCUGUUUUGGAAAGCUGAGUCCUACAAGGAACUUAAUUCUGAAGUGGUGCACUCUGGAAGAACCAGGAAAAUGGAGCCGCUGCUCUCCGUACGGCUUGUUUGCAUGGAAAAAGUUUCAACACAGAAAUUGUUGUUUUUAUUAAACUGUCAAGGAUGAUUAAGUCUUAAUAUGUUCAGAAAUAUACUUAUAGUCCUUUCAAAUACUAAUGGAAUUAAUUAUAGAAAAUUUAUUUAACCUCCUAUAUAUGUUUUCAAGGUCUAGCCUAAAGUAAGUAACUAAAAAGUUUGUUACUUAAUAGACAGCGGUCCUGCAGCUUGUCAGAGAUCUGCUGAACACAGCAUUUAAGACAUUUAAUGGAAAAACCUUAUGUGACAGUGACCCCAAAGUCUCCAAGAAGAUAAUGGGGCACAAUGAUGACAAUCCCACCUGGACCGUGGGAGCACUAGCUACUGGACCAGACUGCCCCAAUGCCUCACCCACUGCCAGGAACCAUUCAGAACUGUGGAUGAGCAUGACACUGGAGAGCUGGUUGUCCACUUUGCCUAGACAAAGUAAGGUCAGCACCCUGAGUUCCUCCUCCACAGGAGCGCCUGCCAUCUUCUGGCCUGGGCCUGAGGUGAUGCUGCCCUGGUCCCUCUGCCCCAACACCAUGGAGUCCACAGGAGCCUGGGAUGACUGUUAGGUCGUUUGUCUUUAUCUCAGAUCCCGUUUGCAAUAUUUCUUUCCAUAUACCCAGAUUGUAAUCCUGAAUGGUUUGUGCUGAAAUAAAAAUCUUUUCUUAAAGCCA